rnacentral:rRNA from 5 species
ACACGACUCUCGGCAAUGGAUAUCUCGGCUCUCGCAUCGAUGAAGAGCGCAGCGAAAUGCGAUACGUGGUGCGAAUUGCAGAAUCCCGCGAACCAUCGAGUCUUUGAACGCAAGUUGCGCCUGAGGCCAACCGGCCAAGGGCACGUCUGCCUGGGCGUCAAGC